UUGAACCAAUGUCUGGCAAAGCAGGAGGCUUCAGUUGGGCGGCCCAACUUGGGCCUCUGGAGAACUUUUAGUCAUCCGCCUGUGUUGAGCCUUGAAGAAGUUUUGUUUCCGGAUGGAAAAGAGGGUCACAAGUUGGGCACCAGGGGGGCUCUGUGUACCAUUAUACGUCUAAACCAGUGGGUGCGUAACAAGGCAGGAAGUGAAGACGUUAGAACCAGAAAGAGAAUGCUCUGGGUUACGGGAGACGCACAUGUCUGGAGCUAAGCUUUAGAAGUUCGGUCAAGAAGAACUGUAUGAACCUGUUUACUGCUGCAACCUGUAUGUGUGGGUUGACACGGACAUUUUAUUGUGAG